rnacentral:lncRNA from 1 species
CCCUCUCGAUCUUAUUCACAGUUGGUGAACCGGAUGCCAUAGCCAAAAACAAAUCAACCUGGUAAAGAAUCAAAUCAAAUCAAUAAAAUAGUUAUACAAAUUUAUUGAGAAAUUUCGGGUGGGAUAAGAAAUCAGCGACAGGGUGAAGGUAUCUGGAUUCUGGGCGAAGAAAUAGAGAAAUAUUUGGGAGGAAUUAUAAGGUUUCUCUCAACGUGGUGAAUAAGGGCAACGGGACUUAGAUGUUCGAACAUUUUCGCGGAGAAAAUGACAGCUUUUUUGUUCAGACAUUUGAAGUUUGGACACGCAUUUUGUCUCCAGUUAUCCUCUUUCUGGGCCGUCCAAGUUGCCAAUCUUUUAAUAGUUACAAAAUUCUUAUAGAUGACAAAAUUCAUAUUCGCAUAUGCCUUUAUCCAUUACUAAACGUAAGGAGCAAAAAGGGAAUGCACAAUCUUGAAGACUUCGAUGUGUUUGUUAUAGUGAUCACAUGCAAAUAUCCAAAUAAGAUAUUUAUUUUAGUAGAUCGAUCAAUUCCUAAGCCUGUUGAAGACGAGCUACUCUAAUAAUACAACAUAUAAUGCUUGUAUGAAACUUUGCAAUAGCUUACACAAUGACAUUGUUGCUCGAUCAACUAUCAUACUUAGGUCAAAUGAAGUGAUGCCAUAGCCAAAAACAAAUCAACCUGGUAAAGAAUCAAAUCAAAUCAAUAAAAUAGUUAUACAAAUUUAUUGAGAAAUUUCGGCUGGGAUAAGAAAUCAGCGACAGGGUGAAGGUAUCUGGAUUCUGGGCGAAGAAAUAGAGAAAUAUUUGGGAGGAAUUAUAAGGUUUCUCUCAACAUGUGGUGAAUAAGGGCAACGGGACUUAGAUGUUCGAACAUUUUCGCGGAGAAAAUGACAGCUUUUUUGUUCAGAC